AUUGAACGCUGGCGGCAUGCUUUACACAUGCAAGUCGAACGGUAACAGGGAGCUUGCUCCGCUGACGAGUGGCGAACGGGUGAGUAAUAUAUCGGAACGUACCCAAGAGUGGGGGAUAACGUAGCGAAAGUUACGCUAAUACCGCAUACGAUCCAAGGAUGAAAGCAGGGGACCUUCGGACCUUGUGCUCCUGGAGCGGCCGAUAUCUGAUUAGCUAGUUGGUGAGGUAAAGGCUCACCAAGGCGACGAUCAGUAGCUGGUCUGAGAGGACGACCAGCCACACUGGAACUGAGACACGGUCCAGACUCCUACGGGAGGCAGCAGUGGGGAAUUUUGGACAAUGGGCGCAAGCCUGAUCCAGCAAUGCCGCGUGAGUGAAGAAGGCCUUCGGGUUGUAAAGCUCUUUUGUCAGGGAAGAAACGGGAGUGGCUAAUAUCCAUUCCUAAUGACGGUACCUGAAGAAUAAGCACCGGCUAACUACGUGCCAGCCGCCGCCGUAACAC
rnacentral:rRNA from 1 species